rnacentral:rRNA from 1 species
CCUACGGGAUGCAGCAGUGAGGAAUAUUGGUCAAUGGGCGGAAGCCUGAACCAGCCAAGUAGCGUGCAGGAUGACGGCCCUACGGGUUGUAAACUGCUUUUAUACGGGAAUAACGCGCCUUACGUGUAGGGCUUUGCAAGUACCGUAUGAAUAAGGACCGGCUAAAUCCGUGCCAGAAGCCGCGGUAAUACGGAAGGUCAGGGCGUUAUCCGGAGUUAUUGGUGUUAAAGGGAGCGUAGGCCGCAUGUCAAGCGUGCUGUGAAAUGUCCGGGCUCAACCCGGGCAUUGCAGCGCGAACUGGCGUGCUUUAGUCCGCGGAAAGCAGGCGGAAUUCGGCGUGUAGCGGUG